GCCAGGUGUGAUGGCACAAGCCUGUAAUUCCAGCAGCUUGGGAGGCUGAGGCAGGAGGAUCGCGUUCAAAGCCAGUCUCAGCAAAAGUGAGGUGCUAAGCAAGUGUCAGUGAGACCCUGUCUCUA
rnacentral:sRNA from 1 species